rnacentral:rRNA from 1 species
GGGACACGUGGUAUCCUGUCUGAAUAUGGGGGGACCAUCCUCCAAGGCUAAAUACUCCUGACUGACCGAUAGUGAACCAGUACCGUGAGGGAAAGGCGAAAAGAACCCCGGCGAGGGGAGUGAAAAAGAACCUGAAACCGUGUACGUACAAGCAGUGGGAGCACCUUCGGGUGUGACUGCGUACCUUUUGUAUAAUGGGUCAGCGACUUAUAUUCUGUAGCAAGGUUAACCGUAUAGGGGAGCCGCAGGGAAACCGAGUCUUAACUGGGCGUUAAGUUGCAGGGUAUAGACCCGAAACCCGGUGAUCUAGCCAUGGGCAGGUUGAAGGUUGGGUAACACUAACUGGAGGACCGAACCGACUAAUGUUGAAAAAUUAGCGGAUGACUUGUGGCUGGGGGUGAAAGGCCAAUCAAACCGGGAGAUAGCUGGUUCUCCCCGAAAGCUAUUUAGGUAGCGCCUCGUGAACUCAUCUUCGGGGGUAGAGCACUGUUUCGGCUAGGGGGUCAUCCCGACUUACCAACCCGAUGCAAACUACGAAUACCGAAGAAUGUUAUCACGGGAGACACACGGCGGGUGCUAACGUCCGUCGUGAAGAGGGAAACAACCCAGACCGCCAGCUAAGGUCCCAAAGUCACAGUUAAGUGGGAAACGAUGUGGGAAGGCACAGACAGCCAGGAUGUUGGCUUAGAAGCAGCCAUCAUUUAAAGAAAGCGUAAUAGCUCACUGGUCGAGUCGGCCUGCGCGGAAGAUGUAACGGGGCUAAACUGUGCACCGAAGCUGCGGCAGCGACACUAUGUGUUGUUGGGUAGGGGAGCG